UUUGAUGUUGGUGAGAACAUGUGAUUGGGUUUCUAUUCCUGGGUUACUUCACUAGAAUAAUGGUCUCCAAUUUCAUCCAGGUGGCUGUGAAUGCCAUUAUUUCAUUCCUUUUUACGGUUGAA